AUCCACCUGACGAGUCCAAAAUGGGAUGAAACGGGCGUCCUGGAU
rnacentral:hammerhead_ribozyme from 1 species